UAUCCAUGGUGUGGACAUUGUAAUAAAAGUGACUUGAAGUGAUCACAUGCUUCAUGAAAGGAUUCAAUAUCAUUUUGAUAAAAGUUGAAAAUUUCAGCCCUUAGUUA
rfam:Ricinus communis cultivar Hale ctg_1100012324388, whole genome shotgun sequence.